rnacentral:rRNA from 1 species
AGCAGCCGCGGUAAUUCCAGCUCCAAUAGCGUAUAUUAAAGUUGCUGCAGUUAAAAAGCUCGUAGUUGAAUUUCGGGAUCAAUACGUCGGUCGUGCUUUCGGGUACGUACUGGCGUCAUUGGUUUCUCCUUUCUGACGAACCAUGAUGUCAUUAAUUUGGUGUUAUGGGGAGUUAGGACUGUUACUUUGAAAAAAUUAGAGUGUUUAAAGCAGGCAUUAGCUUGAAUACAUUAGCAUGGAAUAAUGAAAUAGGACGUUCGAUCCUAUUUUGUUGGUUUCUAGGAUCAACGUAAUGAUUAAUAGGGAUAGUUGGGGGCAUUAGUAUUCAAUUGUCAGAGGUGAAAUUCUUGGAUUUAUUGAAGACUAACUACUGCGAAAGCAUUUGCCAAGGAUGUUUUCAUUAAUCAAGAACGAAAGUUAGGGGAUCGAAGACGAUCAGAUACCGUCGUAGUCUUAACCAUAAACUAUGCCGACUAGGGAUCGGAUGAUGUUAAUUUUUUAAUGACUCA